GUGUAACAAUAGAAAAUUAAGCUGUGCCAAUUUCCUUACACUUAUGUUAGCUCAACAACUAAAAUUCUUGGCUAUCUGUUGAGAAGCUAGCUUCCACUGUGCUUUGGAAACUCUCCACUCCAUGCAGCUAUACUGAAACGGAAUCCUGAUUGUCUUAUGUAGGUGUUCAUUCAAUUAUUUCUUUGAUUCUUGCUUUCAUUUUGGACCGUGCUGCUCAUCAUGACAGGUACAAAUGUUUGUUACCAAUGAAUAUUUUUAUUACGUGUUCACUGCCAUUAAUGACAAUUGAUAUAUGCUAUACAAAUUGUGUUCAUGAUGAGUGAACCUUAGAUUCCCGUUUGAGAUUGG